rnacentral:misc_RNA from 1 species
GAUGAAGAACGCAGCGAAAUGCGAUAAGUAAUGUGAAUUGCAGAAUUCAGUGAAUCAUCGAAUCUUUGAACGCACAUUGCGCCCGUUAGCAUUCUAGCGGGCAUGCCUGUCCGAGCGUCAUUUCAACCCUCAGGGUCCCCGUUCCGGCGGGGAACCUGGUGUUGGGGAUCGGCCCGCCCCGUGCGGCGCCGUCCCCCAAAUUCAGUGGCGGUCUCGCUGCAGCCUCCCCUGCAUAGUAGUUACAACCUCGCAUCGGAGCUCAGCGCGGCCACGCCGUAAAACCCCCGACUUUCUGAACGUUGACCUCGGAUCAGGUAGGAAUACCCGCUGAACUUAAGCAUAUCAAUAAGCGGAGGA